UACGGGGGGAGCAAGCGUUGUUCGGAAUUACUGGGCGUAAAGGGCUCGUAGGCGGCCAACUAAGUCGGAUGUGAAAUCCCCAGGCUCAACCUGGGAACUGCAUCCGAUACUGGAUGGCUUGAAUCCGGGAGAGGGAUGCAGAAUUCCAGGUGUAGCGGUGAAAUGCGUAGAUAUCUGGAGGAAUACCGGUGGCGAAGGCGGCAUCCUGGACCGGCAUUGACGCUGAGGAGCGAAAGCUAGGGGAGCAAACGGG
rnacentral:rRNA from 1 species